GCAGGCAUCAAGAGAGCAUCCCAGCAGUGCCAUCACAACACAGGGCUCGAAUGUGGACAGGAGGAGGACCUAAGUGGACCCGGAGGCUGAGCUGGCCUCGCAGCACUGGUGGUGGGGGAGGGCUGAUGGUCAGGACUCUGGGUCUUUGGCACUGCUGCCUAGGCCGUGGCCCUCAGUCUGCCCAUCUGUGAAAUGAGGGGGAGCUGGUCCUGACUGCCUCCCAGGGACCCUGUGAAAAGCCGCUCUGAACUCCUUGCCAGAGAGGAGGUUUGCCGGUGCCACAAUCCAGCAUUUCUGGGGUUCACUCUGCUCUGGGUACUGUGUAAAGGACUCCACAGCCAUCAACUUCCCUUCAUCCUUGCCGUGUCUUUGAAAGACUGGAUGAUGAGAGGCACAGCUGAGUCCGGAGCAGACUGAGCCACCUAAGAGGGGAGGAACCGCUGCAGAGAAACCGUGUUAAGCCUUUUUGAAGUUCCAGAGGGAGAACAAGAGAGCGGAGGCUCCUGGUGGCUGGUGACAGGUGCUGAUUUGUUCUGGGGAAAGAGCACAGAAAAGUGCCUGGAGAGGAGGCGGGGCCAAAAUGGGAUGUAGGCGAUGGGAAGGACCCUCAAGACACAGUCCUGGGCUCCCAGGCAGGACCAACCCCCAAACCUGUCCCCCCAGGAGCCUGCAGAGCCACUGCCCUGACAGGGGACACCUCACUUCCUCUCCUUGCAGCUGCUCUUGGCUGGGAGAGCAGAGAACAGGGGACAGGAGAGAAGCCCCGAGAGUACUGAAGCUGAGGCUGGGGCGGUCUUCACUUCCCUCUUUCCUCGGCCCUUUUCCUGUUCUCUUGUCUUGUCUCUCUUUCUCUACUUUCCUUCUCCCUAGCCCAGUCUCUCACCGCUCUUCAGCCUCUGGGCCUUUCCUUCUUCCUCUCUUGCCCUCAUUCUUCCUUCUCUGUCCCUCUUGUCUUCUCUUUUACCUCUUCUCUUCUUCCCUCCUUCCUACAGCUAUGCCCUCUUCCCUCCUUUCUCUUGUCCCCAACCAGGGCAUUAGAAAUGCAUUCCAGUUACACUGAUCUGAUCACUGCAUAUUGUAUGCAUGCAUCAAAAUAUCACAUGUACCCCAGAAAUAUGUAAAUUACUGCAUAUCAAUAAAAAGAAAUGUAGCUUCUUUGCCUCACAUACA
ensembl:lncRNA LINC01141 long intergenic non-protein coding RNA 1141